UACGUAGGGCGCAAGCGUUAUCCGGAAUUAUUGGGCGUAAAGAGCUCGUAGGCGGUUUGUCGCGUCGAAUGUGAAAACCCGGGGCUCAACCCCGGGCCUGCAUUCGAUACGGGCAGACUAGAGUUCGGUAGGGGAGUCUGGAAUUCCUGGUGUAGCGGUGAAAUGCGCAGAUAUCAGGAGGAACACCGGUGGCGAAGGCGGGUCUCUGGGCCGAAACUGACGCUGAGGAGCGAAAGCUAGGGGAGCAAACGGG
rnacentral:rRNA from 1 species